AUUGAACGCUGGCGGCAGGCUUAACACAUGCAAGUCGAGCGGGGAAAGGUAGCUUGCUACCUGACCUAGCGGCGGACGGGUGAGUAAUGCUUAGGAAUCUGCCUAUUAGUGGGGGACAACAUUCCGAAAGGAAUGCUAAUACCGCAUACGCCCUACGGGGGAAAGCAGGGAAUCUUCGGACCUUGCGCUAAUAGAUGAGCCUAAGUCAGAUUAGCUAGUUGGUGGGGUAAAGGCCUACCAAGGCGACGAUCUGUAGCGGGUCUGAGAGUAUGAUCCGCCACACUGGGACUGAGACACGGCCCAGACUCCUACGGGAGGCAGCAGUGGGGAAUAUUGGACAAUGGGCGAAAGCCUGAUCCAGCCAUGCCUCGUGUGUGAAGAAGGCCUUUUGGUUGUAAAGCACUUUAAGCGAGGAGGAGGCUACCGAGAUUAAUACCCUUGGAUAGUGGACGUUACUCGCAGAAUAAGCACCGGCUAACUCUGUGCCAGCCGCCGCCGUAAAAC
rnacentral:rRNA from 1 species